rnacentral:tRNA from 1 species
GGGUUGUAGCUCAGUGGUAGAGUGCUUGCCUGGCAUGUGUGAGCCACUGAGUUUGAUUCUCAGCACUGCUUA